GCACUGCUGAGGAGUCUCACUAUAGGACGAAACAACUGUCCAGUGC
rnacentral:hammerhead_ribozyme from 1 species